rnacentral:rRNA from 1 species
CCCUUAGAUGUUCUGGGCCGCACGCGCGCUACACUGAUGCAUUCAACGAGCCUAUCCUUGACCGACAGGUCCGGGUAAUCUUUGAAUCUGCAUCGUGACGGGGAUAGAUUAUUGCAAUUAUUAAUCUUCAACGAGGAAUGCCUAGUAGGCGCAAGUCGUCAGCUUGCGUCGAUUACGUCCCUGCCCUUUGUACACACCGCCCGUCGCACCUACCGAUUGAAUGUUUCGGUGAAGAUUCCGGAUAGGACUGAUUUGAUUUAUUUCAUUUCUGACCUAAAAGCUAUCUAAACCUCAACAUUUAGAGGAAGGUGAAGUCGUAACA